UACAGAGGGUGCAAGCGUUAAUCGGAAUUACUGGGCGUAAAGGGUGCGCAGGCGGUUCUGUAAGUCAGAUGUGAAAUCCCCGGGCUUAACCUGGGAACUGCGUUUGAAACUACAGGACUAGAGUGUGGCAGAGGGAGGUGGAAUUCCAUGUGUAGCAGUGAAAUGCGUAGAGAUAUGGAAGAACAUCGAUGGCGAAGGCAACCUCCUGGGUUAACACUGACGCUCAUGCACGAAAGCGUGGGGAGCAAACAGG
rnacentral:rRNA from 1 species